rnacentral:rRNA from 1 species
AUGGGGAACCCCGGUGCAAUUCAUCGUUCUAUUACCCUCCAAGUCUUCACUGUCUUCUCCCUUGUUGCCUUUUUUGUAGCAGAUCAUGUCCAGGGAGGAGAUGAUGGGUGCCCACCUUUCUCCUGUGGACAUCUCCGAGACAUAUUGCCUCCUUUCCGCCGGCGAGGUGAUCCUCUUGAGUGUGGUGUUGAAGCAUACGAGCUGGGUUGCACCAGUAGCAAGGCUACAAUUCAAAUCAACACGGGAACAUACUAUGUGACUGCCAUCAACUACCCCGGUUCCUACUUUUUGGUCAUCGACACCAACUCCGAUACCAGCAGCAGCUGCCCUCUUCCACUGUGGAAUCACGUUCCUUAUUCAGGACCCUAUGAAAAAAGCUAUUUAUAUUCAAAUGGCUUUAAUAAUUUGCAGACUCGAAGCCUCUACAGAGCAUGUUUUGCUAAUUGUUCGCAGGCAGUAAUGGAUAAUAGUUCAUACAAGCCCGUUGCUUGCCUGAGUGCCAAAGAUUCCCAUGUUUAUGUCUGGGUAUCUGAGUCUGUAUGUGGGGUUGAAGAUCUUAAACCUUAUUGUGGAUACGUGGCCUUGACUCCAUUUCUCGUCACGUAUUCUGUUGAUCUGCAACAGCUACGGAAUGCAAGUUAUGUAGAUCUCACAAAACUCAUAAGUAAGGGGUUUACUGUCUAUUUUCCUGUGGAAGCAGGUGAUAUCCGUUCUGUUUCUAGGACAAUCAAUAUAUGCCUCAACAGGACAACCAGCUACUUCAAGGAGCAAAUAUCUGGCACAAGCAUCGUGAAUUGGACUCAUGCUAUUUUCUGGAGUGAGGUGCAUUUCUUAGAAUGCGUAACUGAUACCAACUUUGGUAGCACCUACACAACAGAGUCGCUUUUACUUGUUGUAACCAUAUUAUCUGCUAUUGGCAUCUCCAAGUUCCUUUUCGGUAUGUCAGAAUUAUAUGCUUUUUACCUUCAAAAGAAGAAUUUACAUAUUUUUAAUCAUCAUGGCCACAAUCUAGGACAUACACAUAUUCCGACAUGUUCAUCUAUCUUACAUCCAUGUUUGUCGACUUGUUGGGCAGUACUAUGCAGGUUCUUGUUGGCACCCCUGGCUGUAUGGAUAUUCCUAGGCUACAAGUACUGGAAAACAAUGAUCAUAAUUGAUGCAGUUGAGAAGUUCCUCAGGAUUCAACAAAUGAUUGGCCCAACGAGGUACUCCUACACAGACAUCGUUGCAAUAACAAGCCAUUUCAGAGAUAAACUGGGCCAAGGGGGAUACGGCACCGUGUACAAGGGCGUGCUACUCCCAGGCGAUGUUCAUGUCGCCGUGAAGAUGCUAGAGGGGAACUCAAACUGCAAUGGAGAGGAUUUCAUCAGCGAGGUCUCCACCAUUGGCAGGAUCCACCAUGUCAACGUGGUUCGUUUAGUGGGGUUCUGCUCGGAGGAAAUGAGAAGGGCCUUAGUCUACGAGUACAUGCCCCAUGGCUCUCUAGACAAGUACAUCUUCUCUGCUGAGAAGAGCUUCUCAUGGGACAAGCUCAACGAGAUCGCUCUGGGCAUUGCCAGGGGGAUCAACUACUUACAUCAGGGGUGUGACAUGCAGAUUCUGCACUUUGACAUCAAGCCGCACAACAUCCUUCUCGACAGCAAUUUCGUCCCAAAGGUCGCUGAUUUCGGGCUCGCCAAACUGUACCCGAGGGGCGACAGUUUUGUGCCACUGAGCGCUAUGCGGGGAACGGUCGGCUACAUAGCCCCCGAGAUGAUAUCCCGGAGCUUUGGUGUCAUAUCCAGCAAGUCUGACGUGUACAGCUUCGGGAUGCUGCUGCUGGAGAUGGCUGGCGGGAGAAGGAACGCCGACCCAAACGCGGGGAGCUCAAGCCAGGCGUACUACCCGUCAUGGGUUUACGACCAGCUGACCCGGGAAGAAGCGGGCGAGGAGAUAUCACCUGUUGCUGCUGACAUGCAUGAGCUGGAGAAGAAGCUUUGCGUUGUCGGGUUAUGGUGUAUUCAGAUGAGGUCUUCCGAUCGGCCAACGAUGGGCGAGGUCAUUGAGAUUCUGGAGGCUGGGGCUGGCGGCCUACAGAUGCUUUCGAGGCCAUUUUUCUGUGACGAAGGGCACAUCCAUGUGGAGGACUCUUACCAUUUCACUUCGGAGCUGACUGCGGUCUCAGAAGAGGAAUUGAGUGCGGUGUCGGAGGAGGAAGACGAUGUGUGA